GGCCCCCGCUCUCCCGGAGCGGCUUGGCUGGGCCUGGCCCGGCCCUUUGCCGCGCCGCCGGCCGCAGGUGCUUAAAUAGCGGCGCCUGCCGCGCUACUGCGUCCUUCGCCAGAACAGAACCAAAACCCAUCUCAGUACUUGCUUUUGACGCAACAUAGGACAGGAAGCUCAUUUAAAGAGAGAAACAGAAAGAUCUUUACUGCCUAUGGAAAGAGAAACAGGAUUUAUAUGCUUUGAGAAGUUUGUGUAUUUUCAUGUUCACAGAUCUGCUGUAGUUUGCUGCCAUUUAAUUCUAACAACUCAUCUGCUUGAGGAGAUUGUUGUAAUGUAUCCAGUGGCUGUUCCUGCACCAGGAGGUGAAGGAAGUAAUGGACAACAUGGGAAACUUAUUUUUUUCCUUUUUGUUUUUGGAGCUGUGUUACUCUGUGCUGGAUUCCUUCUUUCAGUUUUUAUUCUCCAGUCAUGUCCAUCUGGAAGCUUCAGUGACUGUAACGAGGUCCUUAAGGCUGCUGGGCCAGUGCUGGCUGUAACUGGACUGGUUUGUGUUUUACUGGCACGAUCAAGAGCCAGGAUGUAUAUAAGACAAAGACAAUUGCAAAAUGAACAGGUGUACAGUCUUGUUUUUUGUCGUGGGAACUGUCAGUUUGCCCAGUUUCUUAUAUUUGGAUUCCUGUUUUUAACUAGUGGAAUGUUAAUUAGCAUCCUGGGCAUUUGGGUUCCUGGUUGCAGCCCUGGCUGGCAUAUGAUGCAGCUCAACCACACUGGCACUUCUGACGUGGACCUCCAGGGCUGUGGGUUCCUGUCACUUCAAAUCAUGGGACCUUUGAUUGUGCUCACUGGAUUGUGUUUCUUCGUGAUAGCUCAUGUUAAAAAGAAACAAAACUUAAACCUCAACCAAGAAUCCUGUGAAAGUGAAGAACAUGCUCACAGCCCUGAACCUUUUCAGGUUACAGUAGGUGAUGCUGUGAUGGUAUUCCCACCCCCACCACCCUCUUAUUUUGCUGACCCUAUGUCACCAACUGUGACACGUUGUCUUAUGUCAAGUGUUUUGCCUACAAAUGACAGUCCUCCACCGUACCACUCUAUCUUCAGUGAUGGCACCUUCUGCCCCUUGGGACCCUCCCAUGGUCUAGAAGCAACCACCCAGAGAGCCAAGGUUUGGAGGGGGAGCACAGCCUAUUGGCUGCACAGAACAUACUCCUCCCCUGUGAACCCCUGCAGUGAAAUAAGAAAUCACCGAAAAGAUUCUUGUGAGAAACAGCUGUCAAGAUUUUACCCUUGGGGGAAAGAAGAAAAGAAACCACACUCCACACACCCACACACUACUGCAUAUAAAUAGCAACCUGUUAUGUGAUGCGGCUCCAGGACUCCCGAAAGGAUAUCUGCAGCCGAUAUCAAGAAAGUACGGAGGUGCGCUGCGUCUGUCCCCGUGAGACCGGGCUUGCAUCUUGUGUUGUAAUGCACUUAUUUUAAUAUUUCUGCUUUCGAACUUCCACUCAUUAUUUUUGUGCAGCUGAAGAAAGAGAGCAACAAUAAAAAUAACCCCGAGGAUGGUCUCGCUAGCACUGCCCCACACCUUUCUGUCCUCUCACAACACAUCCUCAAAACACACCUGUGCAAAUUUCCCUGAAUACAUAUGAGAGCAGAAUGAGAUGCAAGAGGCAUCCAAACAUUAGAGACUUGAGAAAGGAGAAGUAGCAAUGUCUGACUGUUUUGCUGAGUGACAACAAGUGUUGCUGAAAUUCACAGUCUAAUGUAGCUAUCUAGGUUAGGCAAAGAAAUGCAUGCAAAUAUCCUGGUAUGACUUUGAAAUCCACAGAAAAGAGAAUUUAGAAAUGCAGGAGAAAAUAAUUGGCAUCAAACUCUCUCUGAUUAUAAUGUUUCUUAUAAUGAUUAUAAUGAAAAAACAUCAAGAGACCUUGGAAAUUGAGACUAUAUAGCAGAGAGACCAGUCUGUGUGUCACAAACUGCAUAGUCUAAGCAGCUCAACUGCCUGAUGAUUUGUGGCUGGCUGUGACCAAAUUUCCUGAGAAAUAUAAGAAAAUAAACAGUGGAGAUCCUAGACACACCAGAUUUUUCUUGAAAUGUAGCUUCAAAUGCCACCCAAACAUGUCUCCUAGUGGACCAGUGGGACCUCAGGUGGCCUUUGAUGUACCUCAGAUGCUCUUUACUUCUCUCUUUUCAGAACUGUGUGAUACAUGUCUUUCAUUUCUCAGUCCCUGAAGAUUCUGGCAUACAGUUUGUGUUGUAUGAGGUGGUGCUCAUACCUGGCCUAAGGUUCAGAGCUUGGGAGGCUUUGACAUAAACAUGGCAGUCUGAAGUCCCUGCAGAAAAGCAAGGCAUGGGUAAUAUCCUUGACAAAUUACUCUGAUGGUUCCCUAUGAAUAUGAAAUGGUGGCCUAUAAUCAAAAUCCAACAGCAAGUCCUACUUAAAAAGUGGCAGUCCACACUUUCCUCCAGCCUCUACUUGAGACCAGUCUUAGAGCCAAGUGGAAAAGACAACCUUCUUAAUUAGAAUAAAUACACUGCAGCACGUACUAGAGGGGAAAAUACCUUAUAUUCUGUUUGCAAACUCCCAGCUGAACCCAUAAAACAACAUGCUUUUCUUUUGUUGAGUUUGGGCAAAUCUUUUCAAUAAAUUGUACGUGUGAGAUACUCUCAGUUGAAACACUAAAUACAUGACUCAAGAAUAAAGGCAUAAUUUAAAAGAAAUACUUCUACACUUAAAUUCUAACUAUGAUGCAUAUCUGGUUUUUAUGUGUGUCAUUUCUUUGGGCUUGAGUGGCAACUUUUUGGUAGUGUGGGGGUUAUAGUUACAGGGGUGGUUUCGGUGAGAUGCUGUCAGAAGCUGUGUAAUUACCUCAACCAAGCCCAUGCCAGCAGGCUCCAAGAUGGACCUGCCACUGACAAGGCUGAGACCAUCAGUGAUGGUGGUAGAAUCUCUGGGAUAAUGUAUUUAAAUGUGAGGGAAGUUACUGUACAGGAUCAGAUUUCAGUCAAAGAAAGGAGUCGCAAUAUGUAAAGGAAAACCGUGGCCAGUGAAGAAGGACAGGAAGGAGGUGCUCCAUGCACCAGAGCUGAGAUUCGGACUCCUAUGCCCCUGGAGCAGCUGUGAAGAAGGACAGGAAGGAGGUGCUCCACGUGCCAGAGCUGAGAUUCGGACUCCUGUACCCCUGGAGCAGCUGUGCCCCUGCAAACCAUGGAGGACCACAGUGGAGCAGAGAUCCACCUGCAACCUGUGCAGGACCCCAUACCAGAGCAGGUGGAUGCCCUUGAAGGAAAUUGUGACACCAUGGGAAGCCUGUGCUGGAGGACAGAAGCACCUGUACCCACUGGAGAGAAACCAGAAUAAAUAGCAAAUUUAUUGCCAGAACUUGUGACACCAUGGGACACCCUUGCUGGAGCAGUGAGAUCCUGAAGGACUCCAUGAAAGGGACUGUUCUCGGUUUGAAAGACUGGUGUCUACUAAGGAAGGCAGGAGCCUCUCGUGAAACGGAAAAUGUGAACUCUUUCCCUCCAAAUUACUAUAAUUUUGAAAUUAAGGACCUCUCAGGCAAGGAUUAUGGGAAUAAGAAUAACAGUUCUUUACUAGGAAAAUUAAA